AACCCACUUCGGGGCCAUCCGAUAAAAUUAGAACGAUACAGAGAAGAUUAGCAUGGCCCCUGUGCAAGGACGACACGCACAAAUUGAGAAAUUGUAUCAGAGCUG